AUUGAACGCUGGCGGCAUGCCUUACACAUGCAAGUCGAACGGUAACAGGGAGCUUGCUCCGCUGACGAGUGGCGAACGGGUGAGUAAUGUAUCGGAACGUACCUUUUAGUGGGGGAUAACGUAGCGAAAGUUACGCUAAUACCGCAUGUUCUCUCCGGAGGAAAGCAGGGGACCGCAAGGCCUUGCGCUCUUUGAGCGGCUGAUAUCAGAUUAGCUAGUUGGGGGGGUAAAAGCUCACCAAGGCGACGAUCUGUAGCGGGUCUGAGAGGAUGAUCCGCCACACUGGAACGGAGACACGGUCCAGACUCCUACGGGAUGCAGCAGUGGGGAAUUUUGGAAGCUGGGGGCAACCCUGAUCCAGCCAUGCCGCGUGAGUGAAGAAGGCAUUCGGGUUGUAAAGCUCUUUCGGCCGGGAAAAAAUCGCAUGGAUUAAUACUCUGUGUGGAUGAUGGUACCGGAAUAAGAAGCACCGGCUAACUACGUGCCAGCCGCCGCGGUAAUAC
rnacentral:rRNA from 1 species